rnacentral:misc_RNA from 1 species
CUCCAUCCACGCCAUUCCAACUUCACUAAGUUUUUUUGAUUUAGAACGUUUUAGAAAAUCCUGCAAAGACCUGAAUUUGUCUUUUAAGCACCUGGCUUGCCCUUGAACCCCAGGGCUAAGCUCUUUCCAAGUGGCCAAGGCAUCAAACAAACUUAUAAUAGGAGAAAUACCCAAGUCAUAUGGGCCGACAGAUUCGUGCCAGAGACCAGCGCUCACGAAAGACUCACCAUUCCAGGAACCAUAUUCCAGAAUAUCAGUAUAUAUCUUGAAAA